rnacentral:rRNA from 1 species
GACCAUCCUCCAAGGCUAAAUACUCCUGACUGACCGAUAGUGAACCAGUACCGUGAGGGAAAGGCGAAAAGAACCCCGGCGAGGGGAGUGAAAAAGAACCUGAAACCGUGUACGUACAAGCAGUGGGAGCCUCUUAAUGGGGUGACUGCGUACCUUUUGUAUAAUGGGUCAGCGACUUAUAUUCUGUAGCAAGGUUAACCGAAUAGGGGAGCCGAAGGGAAACCGAGUCUUAACUGGGCGUUAAGUUGCAGGGUAUAGACCCGAAACCCGGUGAUCUAGCCAUGGGCAGGUUGAAGGUUGGGUAACACUAACUGGAGGACCGAACCGACUAAUGUUGAAAAAUUAGCGGAUGACUUGUGGCUGGGGGUGAAAGGCCAAUCAAACCGGGAGAUAGCUGGUUCUCCCCGAAAGCUAUUUAGGUAGCGCCUCGUGAAUUCAUCUCCGGGGGUAGAGCACUGUUUCGGCAAGGGGGUCAUCCCGACUUACCAACCCGAUGCAAACUGCGAAUACCGGAGAAUGUUAUCACGGGAGACACACGGCGGGUGCUAACGUCCGUCGUGAAGAGGGAAACAACCCAGACCGCCAGCUAAGGUCCCAAAGUCAUGGUUAAGUGGGAAACGAUGUGGGAAGGCCCAGACAGCCAGGAUGUUGGCUUAGAAGCAGCCAUCAUUUAAAGAAAGCGUAAUAGCUCACUGGUCGAGUCGGCCUGCGCGGAAGAUGUAACGGGGCUAAACCAUGCACCGAAGCUGCGGCAGCGACACUAUGUGUUGUUGGGUAGGGGAGCGUUCUGUAAGCCUGUGAAGGUGGCCUGUGAGGGUUGCUGGAGGUAUCAGAAGUGCGAAUGCUGACAUAAGUAACGAUAAAGCGGGUGAAAAGCCCGCUCGCCGGAAGACCAAGGGUUCCUGUCCAACGUUAAUCGGGGCAGGGUGAGUCGACCCCUAAGGCGAGGCCGAAAGGCGUAGUCGAUGGGAAACAGGUUAAUAUUCCUGUACUUGGUGUUACUGCGAAGGGGGGACGGAGAAGGCUAUGUUGGCCGGGCGACGGUUGUCCCGGUUUAAGCGUGUAGGCUGGUUUUCCAGGCAAAUCCGGAAAACCAAGGCUGAGGCGUGAUGACGAGGCACUACGGUGCUGAAGCGACAAAUGCCCUGCUUCCAGGAAAAGCCUCUAAGCAUCAGGUAACAUCAAAUCGUACCCCAAACCGACACAGGUGGUCAGGUAGAGAAUACCAAGGCGCUUGAGAGAACUCGGGUGAAGGAACUAGGCAAAAUGGUGCCGUAACUUCGGGAGAAGGCACGCUGAUAUGUAGGUGAAGCGACUUGCUCGUGGAGCUGAAAUCAGUCGAAGAUACCAGCUGGCUGCAACUGUUUAUUAAAAACACAGCACUGUGCAAACACGAAAGUGGACGUAUACGGUGUGACGCCUGCCCGGUGCCGGAAGGUUAAUUGAUGGGGUUAGCGGUAACGCGAAGCUCUUGAUCGAAGCCCCGGUAAACGGCGGCCGUAACUAUAACGGUCCUAAGGUAGCGAAAUUCCUUGUCGGGUAAGUUCCGACCUGCACGAAUGGCGUAAUGAUGGCCAGGCUGUCUCCACCCGAGACUCAGUGAAAUUGAACUCGCUGUGAAGAUGCAGUGUACCCGCGGCAAGACGGAAAGACCCCGUGAACCUUUACUAUAGCUUGACACUGAACAUUGAGCCUUGAUGUGUAGGAUAGGUGGGAGGCUUUGAAGUGUGGACGCCAGUCUGCAUGGAGCCGACCUUGAAAUACCACCCUUUAAUGUUUGAUGUUCUAACGUUGGCCCGUAAUCCGGGUUGCGGACAGUGUCUGGUGGGUAGUUUGACUGGGGCGGUCUCCUCCUAAAGAGUAACGGAGGAGCACGAAGGUUGGCUAAUCCUGGUCGGACAUCAGGAGGUUAGUGCAAUGGCAUAAGCCAGCUUGACUGCGAGCGUGACGGCGCGAGCAGGUGCGAAAGCAGGUCAUAGUGAUCCGGUGGUUCUGAAUGGAAGGGCCAUCGCUCAACGGAUAAAAGGUACUCCGGGGAUAACAGGCUGAUACCGCCCAAGAGUUCAUAUCGACGGCGGUGUUUGGCACCUCGAUGUCGGCUCAUCACAUCCUGGGGCUGAAGUAGGUCCCAAGGGUAUGGCUGUUCGCCAUUUAAAGUGGUACGCGAGCUGGGUUUAGAACGUCGUGAGACAGUUCGGUCCCUAUCUGCCGUGGGCGCUGGAGAACUGAGGGGGGCUGCUCCUAGUACGAGAGGACCGGAGUGGACGCAUCACUGGUGUUCGGGUUGUCAUGCCAAUGGCACUGCCCGGUAGCUAAAUGCGGAAGAGAUAAGUGCUGAAAGCAUCUAAGCACGAAACUUGC